UUCCGGUUGAUCCUGCCGGACCCCACCGCUAUCGGGGUGGGACUAAGCCAUGCGAGUCGGCGCCCUUCAGCCACCGGGGAGGGUGCGGCGGAUGGCUCCGUAACACGUAGCUAACUUACCCUUGGGACGGGGAUAACCCCGGGAAACUGGGGCUAAUCCCCGAUAGGUGAGGAGGCCUGGAAUGGUCCCUCACCGAAAGGGUACCGGGACCAUGCUCUCGGUGCUGCCCGAGGAUAGGGCUGCGGCCCAUCAGGUUGUUGGUGGGGUAACGGCCCACCAAGCCUAUAACGGGUACGGGCCGUGAGAGCGGGAGCCCGGAGAUGGGCACUGAGACAAGGGCCCAGGCCCUACGGGGCGCAGCAGGCGCGAAACCUCCGCAAUGCGCGCAAGCGUGACGGGGCCACCCCGAGUGCCGCCUGCUGAGGGCGGUUUUUCCCCAGUGUAAACAGCUGGGGGAAUAAGGGGAGGGCAAGUCGGGUGUCAGCCGCCGCGGUAAAACCAGC
rnacentral:rRNA from 1 species